AUGAAGCUGAGGCUGCUGUUUGUGGUUCUCCUGCAUGUUUCCCAGCAUGCCUCAGGUGUGGAGGUGUAUGAGGGGGUGGAUUCUGUCCUGCUGCCCUGUCAGGUAGCAAAGGAUGUUUCCAGCGACACCACAGCAGCAGUGUGGGACCGUGAUGAAUUCAAGAAGCCAACAGUCCACGUGCGUCUGCAGAGCGGAGAUGAUCUUAAAGAACAAAACAAUCGUUACUCCAACCGAACAUCAAUGAGAGCCGACGCCCUGCAGACUGGAGACCUCAGCCUCACUCUGAGGAACCCUACAGUCUCUGACAGUGGAAACUACACCUGCACCAGCCGGAAGUAUGGACGAGAUCUGAGGCGGACAGAAGUACACCUGAGGGUCAAAGAACCUCCACUCUGGCCCAGAGUCCUCGCAGGUGCCCUGGUUCUCCUGGUUGUCCUGAUUGUUGCCUUUGGCGUCAUCCUGUAUUGUGAACAUAAAAGGCUUAAGACUGUAGAAGCUCAACUUGUCAGUAACCCAAGGCAGACAGGGCUUCGCUGGCCGUUUGGACAAAGAUGA
rnacentral:lncRNA from 1 species